UGAACGCUGGCGGCAUGCUUUACACAUGCAAGUCGAACGGCAGCACGAAAGAGCUUGCUCUUUUGGUGGCGAGUGGCGAACGGGUGAGUAAUACAUUGGAACGUACCGAGUAAUGGGGGAUAACUGUCCGAAAGGAUGGCUAAUACCGCAUACGCUCUGAGGAGGAAAGCGGGGGACCUUCGGGCCUCGCGUUAUUCGAGCGGCCAAUGUCUGAUUAGCUAGUUGGUGGGGUAAAGGCCUACCAAGGCGACGAUCAGUAGUGGGUCUGAGAGGAUGAUCCGCCACACUGGGACUGAGACACGGCCCAGACUCCUACGGGAGGCAGCAGUGGGGAAUUUUGGACAAUGGGCGAAAGCCUGAUCCAGCCAUGCCGCGUGUCUGAAGAAGGCCUUCGGGUUGUAAAGGACUUUUGUCAGGGAAGAAAGGGUUUGGGUUAAUACCCUGAGCUUAUGAC
rnacentral:rRNA from 1 species